rnacentral:rRNA from 1 species
GAUGAACGCUGGCGGCGUGCUUAACACAUGCAAGUCGAACGAAGCACUUUAUUUGAUUUCCUUCGGGACUGAUUAUUUUGUGACUGAGUGGCGGACGGGUGAGUAACGCGUGGGUAACCUGCCUUGUACAGGGGGAUAACAGUUGGAAACGGCUGCUAAUACCGCAUAAGCGCACGGCAUCGCAUGAUGCAGUGUGAAAAACUCCGGUGGUAUAAGAUGGACCCGCGUUGGAUUAGCUAGUUGGUGAGGUAACGGCCCACCAAGGCGACGAUCCAUAGCCGACCUGAGAGGUUGAACGGCCACAUUGGGACUGAGACACGGCCCAGACUCCUACGGGAGGCAGCAGUGGGGGAUAUUGGGACAAUGGGGGCAACCCUGAUCCAGCGACGCCGCGUGAGGGAAGAAGGUCUUCGGAUUGUAAACUCCUGUUGUUGAGGAAGAUAAUGACGGUACUCAACAAGGAAGUGACGGCUAACUACGUG